UUAACAGAUUUGUUUGCUUUCUGCCAAGAUGCUGCUGGCAGCGAGCGCUCCAUUUCUGGGAAAGAAACCCAAACCUAUUGAAAAAGGAAACCUCGAUGCCUAUUGAGCUUAGUCGCUUGUGACACUUUGUGAUAUUGGUAUUUUCACAUUGGGCGCUUAUUAAUCCAUCCCAAUAUUAUGUCCCUAGGGAUGCAAUUAUACCUUCUCCCUUUUGGUUACCUCAGGAGUGGGUGUAUUGUAUUUGUUUGGUGUCUAACUUCCUAUCUUCAGUUUUGGAGUCAUGAAUUAUUUAUGAUAUGGAUUCUUGCCCAUUACAGUGGACGAAUAACAUGAAAAACAUUUGUGUUUGUUGGGGUAUCUUAUCCCAAGCUGUGAAAUAGUGUGAACCAAAGUUACUUAUAUUUGCCAGUUGAAAUGUUUAUAAUAAUGUCAUAUGCCCCAAGAUUACAUUUGGGAUCGAGAAAUUGACAAGAAAUGGAAGGAUGAGGUUCGAAAUUAGAUUUACAAUACUUUCACCUGUGGGCACAAACUUGGCAAAGUAAAGCAAAUUUAUUCAUAUAGCGCAUUUCAUACACAAGGUAACUCAAUGUGCUAUACAUGAUUAAAAGCAUUUAAAAUUAGAGGGAAAAAAAACAGCAACUUCAACAUUUAAAACAAGGAGAAACAAAAAUAAAAAGUACAAUUCAAACAGCGUACAGUGUAAGAAAUAUCAUUUAAAAGUGGAAAUGCUCUAAAAAGCAUGAGAAAAGAGAAGAAUUUUGAACCUGGACUCAUGUCACUUCUGCGGGCAACUUAUUCCAUUGGUGUGCAGCAUAAUAGCUAAAUGCUGCUUCACCAUGUUUGCUUUGGACUCUGUGCUCCACUAUUUGACCCGAGUCUGUCGACCUCAGAGCCCUACUGGGUUUAUAUUCCAUUAGCAUUUCUUUCAUGUAUUUAGGACCUCAACCAUUUAGUGAUUUAUAGACCAGUAGCAGAACUUUAAAAUCUGUUCUAAAACUGACUGGGAGCCAGUGUAAAAACUUUAGAAUUGGACUAAUAGGCUCUGACCUCUUUGUUCUGAUCAGAACCCGAGCUGGAGCAUUCACAGACCAAAAGGACAAGGUCACGCUUCCGCACGGUGGGAGGCUCUUGGUCGUCCUUCUCCGGGACAUGAUGAGAUAUUCUGAGCAUGCAUGUUCAACUGGGAGGAGACGGUGGGGCACAUCUAGGAUGCAUUGGUAGGGACUAUGUCUCGAGACCUGGGAACAUCUCAUCAGAACUGAAGGAGGCGGCCGUAGACAGGCAAGUCUAAGCCAAGCUCUUCAUACUGCUGCCCCUGUAACCCGGACCUGGAUAAGCGCUGGAAAAUGGAUUCAUGGAUCAAGUCAAGUUUGAUUAAGGGAACCAAAUGGCAAGUGGCAGGUUACAGUUUUUGGAGAGGUGUCUUUGUUUUUAGACUGUAUUCAACACGGUGGCUCACAGAGUGUAUGAUGAGUUUCUUACUUUAGAAAUGUCAGUGGUAAUGAAAAUUGGUCUCCUCCAAAGAAACAACUUCGUUUACUGUGACUCAAGUCUUUACUCUUCGUCACGGCCUGCCCAGUCAGCGGGAUCCUCUCUGAUGUUGAGGGUCAGGGCGUUGACAAUGUUACGUGCCUGCAAAGGUUGCUCCUGAUGCAUGUUCAUUCAGCUCUAUGAUAGCUGAAGUGCAUCACGGGACACACAGACAAAGGCAACAGGAAGUGGUUCCAUUCAAAUGUUUUGCAAUGUUGUUGCACAUGUAAGCACAAGAAGAAGCACUUUGUCAUGUUCACGCUGGGCUCAUGUUAAGACUGAAACAAGGACCAGAAAAAUGGAAAGCGAGGCUUGUUUUGAUUGUAAGAGUUCAGUCAUCACACAGUGACGUUGCACCAGCCAGGUCCAAAUUACACAAACAAAACCUCUUAGCCCCUGACAGGCUUGAUUGUGCCAUCAAGUCAAUAAUCUGUCCACACUCUUCCCGCCAUCCUCACAAAUGACCUCUGUCGCCUUUCCUCCUUCCUCUUUUUGCUUACCCUUAACAAGGCUUGUCCAAACAGCAGAAUAACUCUCCUGCUAUGUUUCCACAUUCUCUUUGUGCCAAUUUCCACCAUUUUUUUCCCUCCACGCCCCUCAUCUUGCCUUCCCUUCCACCUUUUUUAUUGUUUCCAGACAGCAGUGAAACAUAUUGAGAAAGACGUGUAGGACUGUUUGCACACACAUGCUCUGCUGAGGAGAAGAGGAGUCCUUCCAGGAAAGUGGCAUCUGUGCAGUCCAUUAGACAGACAGGGACUCUGUGCGGGCCUUUGACAUAUGCUGGUGCGCUGCAGAGAGGAUGUGAAAGCAGGGGUGUACGUUUGAGAGGAAACAUCGGAGGAGGUGAUGUGCUGCAUGUUGGACAACACUCACACACGGCGUGCGCACAUGUGCAGGACGGCGCCGUGAAUAAGCUCUCACUUUCACCUCCAAACACACACUCCUCCCGACUCGUACGAGCAGGAGACUUGAAGGGUACGCAAGAGUGGAACUCUUUGAGAAGAAGUAGCCACCCAAUUACGAGGAGGAAAACUCCACACUACUGUAAUAUUUGGAGAAAUGGUUCUCUUGUGGGCAGGUCUCACUUACUGUAUGUUAGUGAGAGUGGAGGCUUAAGAGCAGAGCGUCAGCGUGAGGGAGGAUUGUGCCGAGGUUUGAAGAACGGAAAAGUCUGAGUGGACUGGACCAAGUAUGGAGCCAGGCCAGACCAGACCAGGAUGUGUUCUACUGGGCAAACACGCUUCAGCUCUCGUAUUUUAUUUGACUUUUAAGGCCACCGCAAAACAACAUUCCUCUCACAUGUGUAAUGGAUGGAACAUGACUGCUUCACAAUGUAUUAGUGGGUCCUAAUAAUUGCUUUUGAUUUUCCAAAAAGAAAAAGAUUGUGUGCCAAACUGCAUUGUCCGCAUUUGACUCUUAGCAACUGCACUGUGGCGUAAUUAACCGCUCAUUAAUGUCUUUGAAUGUUGCCAUCUUCUAUUUCUGUUUAUUUAAGCCUAAUUAUACAAUAGGUUAUUCUUAUGUUGAAUUAUCUCAAUAUUGAACAUGAUUGUUUUUUCUUUUUUUGUUGUUUUUUUUGUCCUUGAAAUUUAAACAAUCUGUGUGUUUUUAUGUUUUGAGUUUAGUUUUUAAAUAAGAUGGAUUUUUCUGUGGCUCAAUGACUACAUCAUUAGCCUUGAGGUCUUGUUUCGGCAAGCUUGUGGACAAGCAGAUGUUCCGCUGGUUGAGCCUUCACAGUUUUCCGUCACGGUUUAAUCACAGCUGGGCGAGCCAAAUAACAAAUCGCAUUCAAUUUUCUGUAAAUAAAUUGUAAUUAAAUUGAGUGUGACUCAAAAGAUGUAUCUGCAUACCUCAAACUGUUGAUGUUUGUGUUACCUAAUUUGAUAUUUGGAAUUAAACUGACUCGAUCAAUGAC